CCUACGGGAGGCAGCAGUGGGGNAAUAUUGCACAAUGGGCGGAAGCCUGAUGCAGCAACGCCGCGUGCGGGAUGACGGCCUUCGGGUUGUAAACCGCUUUCGCCUGUGACGAAGCGUGAGUGACGGUAAUGGGUAAAGAAGCACCGGCUAACUACGUGCCAGCAGCCGCGGUGAUACGUAGGGUGCGAGCGUUGUCCGGAUUUAUUGGGCGUAAAGGGCUCGUAGGUGGUUGAUCGCGUCGGAAGUGUAAUCUUGGGGCUUAACCCUGAGCGUGCUUUCGAUACGGGUUGACUUGAGGAAGGUAGGGGGAGAAUGGAAUUCCUGGUGGAGCGGUGGAAUGCGCAGAUAUCAGGAGGAACACCAGUGGCGAAGGCGGUUCUCUGGGCCUUUCCUGACGCUGAGGAGCGAAAGCGUGGGGAGCGAACAGGCUUAGAUACCCUGGUAGUCCACGCUGUAAACGGUGGGUACUAGGUGUGGGGUCCAUUCCACGGGUUCCGUGCCGUANCUAACGCUUUAAGUACCCCGCCUGGGGAGUACGGCCGCAAGGCUAAAACUCAAAUGAAUUGACGGGG
rnacentral:rRNA from 1 species